rnacentral:rRNA from 1 species
GAUGAACGCUGACAGAAUGCUUAACACAUGCAAGUCGAUGGGGAAGUGGUGCUUGCACCCUGGUCACCAUGGCGGACGGGUGAGUAACGCGUAAGGAACUUACCUGCGGGACCGGGAUAACAGCAGGAAACUGCUGACAAGACCGGAUAAGGUCAUUAAGCUGCAUAGCUUAGUGAUGAAAGGAGACGCCUGCGGAGAGCCUUGCGUCCUAUUAGCUAGUUGGAGGGGUAACGGCCCACCAAGGCGAAGAUAGGUAGCCGGCCUGAGAGGGUGGACGGCCACAAGGGGACUGAGAUACGGCCCUUACUCCUACGGGAGGCAGCAGUGGGGAAUAUUGGACAAUGGGGGCAACCCUGAUCCAGCAAUUCUGUGUGCACGAAGACGGUUUUCGGAGUGUAAAGUGCUUUCAGCAGGGAAGAAGGAAGUGACGGUACCUGCAGAAGAAGCGACGGCUAAAUACGUG